AUGAACAUUGAAAGCAACAAGGAGACCAGCAUCAAACUCUCCGCCAUGUCCAUGCUGCUCAGCUCCUACCAGAUACUGAACAUUGGCUGUCGGGUGAAGGACCCGGAUCUCGAAUAUCUGGAGAUGUUUCUUCAGGUGGCCGAAGUGGUGGGAGAGGCCUAUGGACUGGAGCCCAUUCAGCAUCUAGACCUGCUGGUGAGGGAUUGGAGCAGUUCCCUGGUCCUUGGAGCCCGGGGUGGGAAGAAGCAU